rnacentral:rRNA from 1 species
AGUCACUGACAUUAGAUACCCCGGUAGUCCAGGGUGUAAACGCUGCAGACUUGGUGUUGGAAGCCCGUUUGGGGGGCAUUCAGUGCCGGAGAGAAGUUGUUAAGUCUGCUACUUGGAGAGUACGCCCGCAAGGAUGAAACGUUAAAGGAAUUGGCGGGGGAGCACCGCAACGGGAGGAGCGUGCGGUUUAAUUGGAUUCAACACCGUAAAACUCACCAGGGAAGACUGUUACAUGAAAGCCGAGAUGAAGACUCUGCUAGAUUUUCAG